rnacentral:lncRNA from 1 species
UGGUUGCAUUAUAUAGUAGAUCGAAUAUUUCUGGACAGCGCUCCAGACGACCUAGUCAGGCACCCUAUGGUCGUCUUGAGGAUUGCGAUAACGUGGAAGACAAUGUUGAUAUUUUUUCUGUCCUUGAUCCUGAUUUUGAUAAAGAAAAUCAUUGAGAUUACCAAAGCCUUUAUCAAAAUCAGAAUAAAGACUAUUCCUUUGUCUAACUUAUGUAAACGAAAGCAUCAAAAUAAAAUUAAACAUCUGUCAUUUAUAUUAGUGUUUGUCAAAUUAAUGUCAUUUUUGCAGGACCAGUAGAUUUGGAGCCGGACCAGCAGAGUUUUCAGUCCACUGGUCCGGCUGGUUAGUAC